CCGGCGAAUGCCGGUGGAACUACAGUACGCCGUGGUCGCGGGUUCGAUUCCCGUACACCGCAAGGUGAUAGCUCAAUGGCAGAGCGUGGUGCAGGUUUCACCCCUCGUUGUCGCCGUCAA
rnacentral:Y_RNA from 1 species